rnacentral:rRNA from 1 species
UACAGAGGUCUCAAGCGUUUGUUCGGAUUCAUUGGGCGUAAAGGGUGCGUAGGCGGCGCGGUAAGUCGGGUGUGAAAUCUCGGAGCUUAACUCCGAAACUGCAUUCGAUACUGCCGUGCUUGAGGACUGGAGAGGAGACUGGAAUUUACGGUGUAGCGGUGAAAUGCGUAGAUAUCGUAAGGAAGACCAGUGGCGAAGGCGGGUCUCUGGACAGUUCCUGACGCUGAGGCACGAAGGUCAGGGGGAGCAAACAGG